GGCUGAUAGCACGCCAUGCCGAUGCCCUGAAUCGACGGCUGCUAUUUGUGAUCAAAAAUUAUUAAAAGUGAAAACAACGAAUCUCAACAUCGCGAACGAACAAAACAUUCUUAAGUGCAGGCCAUUGCAAAUCAGCCAACAGAAAGAUUAGACCCUGGAACAAUUUGAUCAAUGCGACGCAUCAAGAGGCCCCACGCCAACGAGUCUCGGGGGCAGUGGGGAGAAACGGUUCUUCCUAUUCGGAAGAGGUGACGCGCGCGGUGAUAAUUUUGCCGUUCGCGAGGAGAUAUAGCGAAGACCUCUGCGUCGACGAGAGGCGUCUAUCACUUACAUUCCACUCUCUUCCAGAGGGUGUGUGGGGAGGCAACAACAAUCCGUGGUUCCAGUAGAAUGUCCGUGGGUUUGCGAGUGUUUUUCCGUGAAGUAACUGUGUGAUAAACGCACCUGAGUUGUUAUAGAAGAACCCCUAACAACUGUAUUGCAGUAUGAUGGACAGAAUUCUACGUAAACGACCAAGAUGACAAGAUUUUCAUCGAUCACCCUAGAUCGGAUCGGAAGAUCCUUCCGUUCAUUUAUUUUUGGUCGACUGAACAGGACAUUGCUCGCCAGUUGAAGCAGAAAAUGGGUUUCCCAAGGGUGGGAAGCCGAAAAAAGCAUCAUUUUGAUGCCACUGGACGCGAAUCCAGACAGGCGAGAAGCAGUAAAAGGUUUGGCCCUUAUUUUGAUUGAAAGCACACGCAAACGGCGCUGUAAGGUGAUCUUCAAGGGUCAAAUUGUACUCUUUACCAAGCAAUGAGUAUUCCGUCCAUUUGAUAGUUCCUAGCGUAUGGCCAGCAGAGGCACAAACAGUAACCUUCUUAGCCACCACCUCUGCCAGAGACGCAACGACAAGGAUCACUGACCCGAGCACGAUGAAGAACUGCCGAUUGGUGAGCUGCUGAAGCUGAACGAAGAAGCGAAACGGAAGGUAAAAGUAGAUUGCCAGAUUUUAUGCAACCCAUCACCAAAGGACGCAGUAACAGCAGCAGCGGCUGCUCGAACCAGCGUAGCACGCACUAAAGGAAAUUAAAAGAGAAAUAACUUCCAUCGUCCAUGGUUUACCUUGAGG